UCAUAAUUGCAAAAGAACCCUUAUCCUCUAUGUCCUGCUCCAUCGAUCCCCACCUCAUCCAACCAGGAACUAGAGGCAUCCGAUCCUUCCCGAAGAGGGGAGAACACGAUGAAACCGAACUAGCCAAUUGCCGCUGUCGCUCACACGCCGCCAGCGCCGGCCGCUCCCAAUUCCUCUUCCGCAGCAUCCCCACCACUCACUGCCACCUCCACCUCCUCCUUCCCCUCCCGCCUAUUAUCUCCUCUCCCCCUACCCUGUCCCCUUCGAUGCCGAUGUCGACAUGUACGCCGCCGGCGCCGUCUGUCCCCGAGCAGCCCCGGCGCCCACCAGCUUCACCUCCUUCCCAUCGACGCGCUCCACGUCUGUCCAAUUCGAGUAUGAGCUGCUCCCCAGGACCUCUAUGUCGUUUGCAACUGGAGCACUACCCACGAGCUCCACAGUCCAGACCCGCAUCAUCCUCCUUCCGUCUUGGAGAUGGCAAAUCUGGUGUGAUGAUUGAUGUGAAGGUACUGUGCUCUGAUGGUCCCUCUCCUUCCCAGUCCCAAGUCAAAAAUUUCCGUUACUCAAAAGUUCAAAUCCACACGCCUAUCUCGAACUGUCUAGAAACCACUCAUGUCAUGUAGCCGCGCUGCUCAAACUACAUCCCCAAGAAGCCACAUAAUCUUUAGCUCGAACGGAGUGUGAGGAGGCGUGAGUCACUGUUAUUAUCCAUCUAAUCUACUUUUUUCAAGGACCAUGGUUUGGGUGUGGAAGAAUAGUAGAAUCUUCUCUACUUCUCAUGAACCCCUUGCUUCAUCUCUAUUAUACAAUCUUUUUCUGGCAGAAAUCUGGUUGAUGUUAAAUAAGAAAGUGACAAGAGGUCCAGUACAAUUUUUAUGUGCGUGUAUGUACAUUCUGUUUCUUUGCUUGGUACAAAAUAUAUUGCAAGGGAUGUUCCUUUUUGCUUCGUUAAAUAUACUACAUACCCUCUACAGACUCGGCUUAUUUUCCUUUGUCUGAAUAUAACACAGACGAAUUGAAUGCAGUAGUUGUUGGAAUUCAGUAAUGUUCAGGCUUGUUCGAGUGUUAGUUUUCUUCAGAAUUUCAGUGUUCCUUUUCUGAAGAAAGUUAUAAAGGAACUUCUUGUGAAUUUUGGUUGUUACUCGUUGAGAUUGUAUCCUCUAUUUUUGUUUGCCUAGGUAUAUCUUCUGCGAUUGUUCUGAUGGAACGCCUCUCAACAUGAUCCUCUGUUCACUUUUUUGUUAUGGCUUUGGUUGUUUGAAUAGCUUUGCUUUCAACUGUACGUGCUACAUAAGGACUCAAAUAUGUCCUAAGAUUUUGGCCAACGAAUUGAGCUUGAUAGCUUUAAAACUUGCUGGCCAAGAGAUAAGAUCUUCUUGUUCAGGAUGAGUCUAUAUAUACAGCCAUGUAUGGCAGGUCCUCUGCAUCAAUCUCAUCUGGUGUUCCUCCACAUACUACAUCUGAACCUUGGCAUAGAGAGAGCUACGUUGGUGAGAACCUGUUGGUUCAUCUCCUCUUGAGUGCACAACAGGAGAUACGAGAUCAUUGUAUCUUGGAGGAGAGCCGCCGUUUAAUUCAUGCACCAUGGCGAGGGCGUGAAUCUUCUUGAAGACGGCGCCUACCGGUGUGCCUUGAUCCAGUCGAGCUGCUGCACCAUGAUCUGCUGCGACCACAUCUUCACCAACAUACGACACCGACGACGUCAACAAUAGUGGUUGUUUAAUGUGUUUUUAGGCGAGCAGAUAAAUGAAGAGAAAACCCCAUAACUAAAAUUGUUGGCAUAUA